rnacentral:misc_RNA from 1 species
UUGAGAGGGGAUAUAAAUUUAAUACAAAGGGCUUUUGCGUUUCUAUCAAACUUCCUAUCAUUUCCAGUUGGCCAAAGUACAGAGAACGGAAUUACUAAAUAAUAAGUGAAAUUACAGUUCUUGCAAAAGCUCUCGGACUCCUUGAAUCAAAGAAUUCCAUAACUAUAGAAACUAGACAAACAACUCCACGCACUUAAGUUGAGAAACCAUACCACUUUUUGCGAGUGGAAAUGGCUGAGCAUGAAACUUGGUUGGAAGAAUCGCCAGACUCAUGCCCAAUCUUAUCGGCAAAUGGAUUGAAAUGAAUGAAACGCAAAACCGCCAGCUCUAUCAGCUCAGUUUGUUGUGUCACGACUGUAAUACUGGUCUAAUGUCUUCACUGGAAUUCGGUGGAGAAGCUCACGAGGGAAGAUACGAAGUAG